AUAAAUAUGAAGAAAUGAUAAAAAGUACAAAUAAAGAAAUUGUAAAACUUGUUGAUAUUAUCUUAAAAGAUUCAAACGUAAAUAAAGAUCAUAUUAUUGGGUUCUUAAUUGACAAUAUAAAUGUAGACAAAACGUACGUCAAGGCUAUUGAUACGGUACUUGAAAAUCAUUAUUUUACUUUAAUUGUGGAAGAUAUGAAUACAGCUAAACAUAUAGUAGAAUUUAUAGAAAAAAGAAGAGAAAAAAAAAAAAAAUAAAGAGUUCGAUUUGAAAGAUUUUUUUUUUGGAAAAUUAACUAUUGUACCUUUAUUAAACAUAAAAAAAUAUAAUGAAUUUGCUUAUCCAAAUGAUAAAAACAUUGUUCCUUUAAUUAAUUGUGUAAAUUAUAAUAGUAAGAUAUAUGAAUUUUUAAAAAAUAUUUUAUUUAAAACUAUUAUUGUAAAAUCAUUAGAAUCUUGCCAAAACUAUUUGGAAGAAAACUAUAAUUGCGUAAACAUAGAUGGAGAUUAUUUAAGCAAGCAAGGUUUCAUGUACGGAGGAUAUAAUAAAAAGAAGUAUGGUAUUUAUACAAUUUAUAAUAAGGUAAAAGAAUUAAAAGAAGAAGAAAAAAAAGAGAAAGCUACUAUAGAAGAGUUAACUAAUAAUAUUGAAAAAGUUGAUGAAGAAUUAAGAACAAUUUAUAAUAAUAAGUCAACUAUAUUAACUGAGAAAAAUGGAUGUAUAGCAGCACUUAAUGAAUUAACGAAUAAUGUACAUGUGAAUGAUGAAAAUUUUAGAAUAACAACAGAUAAAAUAGAAUCUUUAAAAGAAAAAAAAAACCAUUUAGAAGAGUAUAAAAAUAAAUUAAAAACACAAAUCUUACAAUUAAGAAAUAGUAAUUUAAAUCCACAUAUAUCAGAACAAAGAGUUGUUGAUAUUAAUGUCAUAAAUGAUGAAAUUAAAAAAUUAAAAGCUGAGCUAAAUACAGUUAGUAAUGAAUAUGAUGAUUUUAAAAAUAAAUUGGACAUGUUAUAUCAGAAAAGAAAUGAGUGUGAUACAAAUAUAUACAUGGAGGAAUAUGAAGACAUAGACAUCGAUGAAAACUAUCAUGAACUGGAAAAUAUAAAACACGAGAUUGAUAGAGUAAGCAAAAAUAUAACACAUAUGGGAACAAUUAAAUAAGAACAAAUGGCAUAGUACAUAAAUAUAUGCACAUAUAUAUACAUAUAUAUAUGUGUGUUUUUUUUUUUUUUUUUUUUAAUAGAU
rnacentral:lncRNA from 1 species